GGUUAAGCGACUAAGCGUACACGGUGGAUGCCCUGGCAGUCAGAGGCGAUGAAGGACGUGCUAAUCUGCGAUAAGCGUCGGUAAGGUGAUAUGAACCGUUAUAACCGGCGAUUUCCGAAUGGGGAAACCCAGUGUGAUUCGUCACACUAUCAUUACGUGAAUACAUAGCGUAAUGAAGCGAACCGGGGGAACUGAAACAUCUAAGUACCCCGAGGAAAAGAAAUCAACCGAGAUUCCCCCAGUAGCGGCGAGCGAACGGGGAGCAGCCCAGAGUCUGAAUCAGCUUGUGUGUUAGUGGAACGGUCUGGAAAGUCCGACGGUACAGGGUGAUAGUCCCGUACACCAAAAUGCACAGGUUGUGAACUCGAAGAGUAGGGCGGGACACGUGGUAUCCUGUCUGAAUAUGGGGGGACCAUCCUCCAAGGCUAAAUACUCCUGACUGACCGAUAGUGAACCAGUACCGUGAGGGAAAGGCGAAAAGAACCCCGGCGAGGGGAGUGAAAAAGAACCUGAAACCGUGUACGUACAAGCAGUGGGAGCCUCUUUAUGGGGUGACUGCGUACCUUUUGUAUAAUGGGUCAGCGACUUAUAUUCUGUAGCAAGGUUAACCGUAUAGGGGAGCCGAAGGGAAACCGAGUCUUAACUGGGCGUUAAGUUGCAGGGUAUAGACCCGAAACCCGGUGAUCUAGCCAUGGGCAGGUUGAAGGUUGGGUAACACUAACUGGAGGACCGAACCGACUAAUGUUGAAAAAUUAGCGGAUGACUUGUGGCUGGGGGUGAAAGGCCAAUCAAACCGGGAGAUAGCUGGUUCUCCCCGAAAGCUAUUUAGGUAGCGCCUCGUGAAUUCAUCUUCGGGGGUAGAGCACUGUUUCGGCUAGGGGGUCAUCCCGACUUACCAACCCGAUGCAAACUGCGAAUACCGAAGAAUGUUAUCACGGGAGACACACGGCGGGUGCUAACGUCCGUCGUGAAGAGGGAAACAACCCAGACCGCCAGCUAAGGUCCCAAAGUCAUGGUUAAGUGGGAAACGAUGUGGGAAGGCACAGACAGCCAGGAUGUUGGCUUAGAAGCAGCCAUCAUUUAAAGAAAGCGUAAUAGCUCACUGGUCGAGUCGGCCUGCGCGGAAGAUGUAACGGGGCUAAACCAUGCACCGAAGCUGCGGCAGCGACACUAUGUGUUGUUGGGUAGGGGAGCGUUCUGUAAGCCGUUGAAGGUGGCCUGUGAGGGUUGCUGGAGGUAUCAGAAGUGCGAAUGCUGACAUAAGUAACGAUAAUGCGGGUGAAAAACCCGCACGCCGGAAGACCAAGGGUUCCUGUCCAACGUUAAUCGGGGCAGGGUGAGUCGACCCCUAAGGCGAGGCCGAAAGGCGUAGUCGAUGGGAAACAGGUUAAUAUUCCUGUACUUGGUGUUACUGCGAAGGGGGGACGGAGAAGGCUAUGUUAGCCGGGCGACGGUUGUCCCGGUUUAAGCAUGUAGGCGGAGGUUCCAGGUAAAUCCGGUACCUUUUAACGCUGAGGUGUGAUGACGAGGCACUACGGUGCUGAAGUAACAAAUGCCCUGCUUCCAGGAAAAGCCUCUAAGCAUCAGGUAACACGAAAUCGUACCCCAAACCGACACAGGUGGUCAGGUAGAGAAUACCAAGGCGCUUGAGAGAACUCGGGUGAAGGAACUAGGCAAAAUGGUGCCGUAACUUCGGGAGAAGGCACGCUGAUAUGUAGGUGAAGUGAUUUACUCAUGGAGCUGAAAUCAGUCGAAGAUACCAGCUGGCUGCAACUGUUUAUUAAAAACACAGCACUGUGCAAACACGAAAGUGGACGUAUACGGUGUGACGCCUGCCCGGUGCCGGAAGGUUAAUUGAUGGGGUUAUCCGUAAGGAGAAGCUCUUGAUCGAAGCCCCGGUAAACGGCGGCCGUAACUAUAACGGUCCUAAGGUAGCGAAAUUCCUUGUCGGGUAAGUUCCGACCUGCACGAAUGGCGUAAUGAUGGCCAGGCUGUCUCCACCCGAGACUCAGUGAAAUUGAACUCGCUGUGAAGAUGCAGUGUACCCGCGGCAAGACGGAAAGACCCCGUGAACCUUUACUAUAGCUUGACACUGAACACUGGUCCUUGAUGUGUAGGAUAGGUGGGAGGCUUUGAAGUGUGGACGCCAGUCUGCAUGGAGCCAUCCUUGAAAUACCACCCUUUAAUGGCUGGUGUUCUAACGUGGACCCGUAAUCCGGGUUGCGGACAGUGUCUGGUGGGUAGUUUGACUGGGGCGGUCUCCUCCUAAAGAGUAACGGAGGAGCACGAAGGUUAGCUAAUCCUGGUCGGACAUCAGGAGGUUAGUGCAAAGGCAUAAGCUAGCUUGACUGCGAGAGUGACGGCUCGAGCAGGUGCGAAAGCAGGUCUUAGUGAUCCGGUGGUUCUGAAUGGAAGGGCCAUCGCUCAACGGAUAAAAGGUACUCCGGGGAUAACAGGCUGAUACCGCCCAAGAGUUCAUAUCGACGGCGGUGUUUGGCACCUCGAUGUCGGCUCAUCACAUCCUGGGGCUGAAGUAGGUCCCAAGGGUAUGGCUGUUCGCCAUUUAAAGUGGUACGCGAGCUGGGUUUAGAACGUCGUGAGACAGUUCGGUCCCUAUCUGCCGUGGGCGCUGGAGAAUUGAGGGGGGCUGCUCCUAGUACGAGAGGACCGGAGUGGACGCAUCACUGGUGUUCGGGUUGUCAUGCCAAUGGCAUUGCCCGGUAGCUAAAUGCGGAAGAGAUAAGUGCUGAAAGCAUCUAAGCACGAAACUUGCCCCGAGAUGAGUUCUCCCUGAGACUAUAAGUCUCCUGAAGGAACGUUGAAGACGACGACGUUGAUAGGUCGGGUGUGUAAGUGUAGCGAUACAUUGAGCUAACCGAUACUAAUGAACCGUGAGGCUUAACCUU
rnacentral:rRNA from 1 species